rnacentral:sRNA from 1 species
CUUUCCUUCUCAUCUCUUUUGCUCUGAGCUUUCCCUCUCAUCUCUUUCGCUCUGAGCUUUCCCUCUCUUCUCUUUCCCUCUCGAUCACAAACCAUCGUCACAUGUUUUUCGUUAAUGAGGUUUCGAGAAAGGGAAUGGGAUCGCGGUGCCGUUGAGGGCCCUCGUGCUCCGGUCUAACCGAGGGUUUGGAUCGACGGCCGUUGCAUAGUGCUACUACAAGGAUGACGAGAAGAGGAGUGUGCGACACACGGCAUGCUUGACACACAGGGUUGCAAGCCGAAGCGUGGAGUGUAGUGGGUGAUGAUAGGGAAGCCUGGAGCUGGGAGGAACCUCUUAGCGUAGAGGCUCUCGAAGGUUCUAGAAGUUCCUCACAUUUCCAUGGCUAUGCUCUUCAGCCAGAACCUCAACCCUUGCUCCUACCUCUAUCACCAACGAGCAAAUGCCUUAGAUCAUGGAAAACUUGUCCCAGAGGAAAAUACUCUUUUAUGACCAUCACGCUUCGUUCUUUUUGCACUCACGGUCACGCUAACAAAGUUCCUUCAUCUAGUAAGUAAUCCCUUUCUUCUUUGAUUCAUAAAUCCCUAAAAUUGCAAAACUCGAAAACCCUAAUUUGCUUCUUCUUUCUUCCUAUUUCACGUAACGAUAUGUGGUGUAGUUCGGAAGACGUUGUUCCAUUGUUACCAGAUAUCGAUUGAGGCGAGGGUGUUGCAUUUUGAAAACAUUCGAAGUGGUAGUAAGGUCUUAAUGGAUUAAUUAGGGGCAUUCAGGAGCCUAACUUUGUGCAAUUGACCAAGUCGAUGGAUUCAUCCUUAUUUGCAAACACGAUAUGCAGGCUAUAUACAGGGAGAAUAUCAAAUAAAAGUAACUAAAAGUGCCCUGGCCUUGUUGCUAACCAGCAGGAUAUUACUUCUAGCUCUUUUGAUUGCAAAAUUGGCUUUCUUAUGGAAAUCUCAUCUAUCAGAGAAUUACCUGAUAUGGUAAGAAUUAUGAAUAACUCAUGUAAAUAAUGAUAUUUGAAUAUGAGAAU